UACGUAGGUGGCAAGCGUUGUCCGGAAUUAUUGGGCGUAAAGCGCGCGCAGGUGGUCCUUUAAGUCUGAUGUGAAAUCCCACGGCUCAACCGUGGAACUGCUUGGUAUACUGCGGGUCUUGAGCCAUCUAGGGGCAACCGGAACAAACGGUGGAGCGGUGAAAUGCGUAGAUAUCGUUUUGAACGCCAAUGGUGAAAACAGGUUGCUGGGGAUGUGCUGACGCUGAGACACGAAAGCCAGGGGAGCAAACGGG
rnacentral:rRNA from 1 species